UAGUUGGCAAAUUGAAAAAUCCUUAAUGGCCCAUAUGAAAAGCAUUGGACAUCUCCAUUAGCUCAUAUCAAGGCUGAUCAUUGUGUCGGAGCAUGGGGAUGGAAUUUCUUUCGGAUCACGUCAGUCAGUUCCUUAUUAAUUAUUCAUAUCUGUUAUUUCCCGAGCUCCAUUCAGACCUGAAAAACCUCUCCCACUUUGAAUUGAAUUCUUGUCCGUGAAUAUGACGUUAACUCGAUCAAAAAUGGCCGUUGGCUCACAGGGCAACCAAUAACCGUAGUGUGCGGUACAGUAAGUACGAACGUGCAUAAAUCAAGGUUUUGGAAUAGUCACUAAUGUAAUUCAAAAAUUGCUGACAUCCGGGUCGUGGCUGCUAUGAUUCAGGGGAUCCUCUGAGGUAUCCUCUGAUCCGUCCCUGCAUGCCGUCCCUGUAUGUAUUCUGAAGCACCUUUCGUUCCCAGUCUCUCGCUCUCGUUUUUCCUCCGAUGAUCGAGAGCGAAACAUGUUGCCUUAUACUUUAUUGAUAUACUGUAUACAUGCACAAUGUGCGGGGAGAGGACGAGAGAGAAUGCCUCCAAUGAAAUGGAUUUUUUCCAUUUCAAUGCUUCCGAGCUGACAGAAUUUAAUCAAGCAGCCAACAAUCCACCCAUCCCAUCCAGAGGCCCAUUGUUUCUGCUCAGAUAAAUGAAUAUUUAUUCAUCCCUUCGAUGAAACCUAAACCGCUCUGUCUUCAUGGGCGGUGCUUUAAAUUCUGCAGCCCAGUGACCAUUUAUCAAUUUAUAUCAUGAGGCUAAUGUGGUGUAUUAUUCAAAGACGAAAUCACCCACCUAGUUAUAGCUACGAAGAAGGCCAACCCGCUGUGAUAUAGAGAACAUAUUAUGAUGCCCCCGACAUUGUCCUAGACUGCUGCUCUACUUUGACUUGAAUGAGAUUGCUCAUUAUUUUCCGAUCUUUAGCCGCAUGGGUCUCUCGUCGCUUUCAUUGUGCACAUGUACAUGCUAAGCACUGUAAGCACCUGACAGGCAGGAUCUUGAAAAUUAGCAGGACCCUGGGAUUCAAUCUCGAUCAAUGGUCCGUAACGCUUUUAAAGAGUUACAUUUACGUGCGUUCGAAAGUUCAGACUGAUUGAGCAACUUGAUUAUUAGGUGUGAUCUUGGAUCAAUCUGUAGGCGUUUGAUGUUUUUUUCCAAAUAAAACCCACUGGUAUUUAUAAUUGUUAAAUAGGAGCUUCAAGUUGAGCCAAAAGCUUGGAGAGUGAUCUGCUCUUUCUUUUCCUUCUAUGAGGUGGCUCAACCUUUUGCUAAGCUCGCAUCAACUUGGUGCAUACAGCACUUUGGGUGCAUGGUGCAUGGUGCAUGGUGCACUAUGAGUCUGCUCCUGUCUUGGACUCAAACCAGAAAUGUGACUUUGACGCAACCACCGAAGAAGGAAGAAAAAACGUCGCUCGCUUAUCAGUUGGGUUUCCAUUUGCUUGGGAAACAAUUUAAACUUAUCAAGUGGGUCAGACUUCUGUCUGAUUUGGUUCAAGACAAAAACCAGUCUAACGUGAUGAGGUGAGUGUAUACGAGUCUAUACAGGUGGGUACCCCCUGUCCGUACAUAGAUCCAUUUACAUACGUACAAAGAUGCACAACUGAUAGAUACUCUUCCCCCUUGAGAUCGAGAACGUGAAUGGAGCAUCAGUAUUCGUGGACUUAGACGAGGGCUUGUGACCAGGAGCUUGGUUCAUCCUUACUGAGCGAGCUUGCACUCAAGAAUCGCAAGGUGGCAAACCAGUUCGAUGAUCUGAUCAAGAGGGCUUCAAGAAACAUGUGAGAUUUUCUAGUUUCAAGGGAACCCAAUGUGAAGCUCAGGAAUUCGAACCAAUUAUCCCUCAUGUCCAAUCCAGAACGUUUCAAUGAUUUUUUGAUCCCUCUCCUCUGGUUAAAGCAGAGAGCUGUUUUCAGCAGGAAAAUAAGAGGAGGACAGAAUGACCAAAAUCAGAUAUCUUCUUCUGAAUGCCGCCAAUCUGGGUACCAGAGAUAGGUCAGGCGGAUGGAAAGAGAAUGAGAUCCACCAUCAAGGACCUCCUACUUGCCAUCUUUUAACUUUUUUCGACCUUUUUAUGCUACUUUCUUCGACACCUCCACAUUAUAACACAUUGUCACCUAAAUUGAAUGUAAGCGACUGAAUUAUGGUAAUUGAAUCAUUAACGAUGUGGAUUGCGAUUCAUGUGGACGAUAAUGUAAAAUGCAUGUUUUGAUGAUUGAUUGAAUGAGCUGUCCCAGCUGAUCACUUUAAUUUGAUCCAUAUGAUAUGCAAUAAAGGACCUUUGUUUCUGUAAA